ACAUGGAAAUAAUGAACAAAAAUUACUGAAGGUGUAAACAAUAAUACAAUAUUGUGCAGUGAACACCAUGUACAAUGCAGCAACAUGCACACAAUACGGUCAACAAUCUCUGUACUAGAUACUACACAGCUGUGCCACUGAAAUCAGAUUGUCACAAUAUUUAUUUGAAUAAAGUUUUUGGGCGAACCAUCCCUUUAAGGUCCAUGUUUGAUGGUUUGAUAGAGAUAAUUGCUCAUU